rnacentral:lncRNA from 1 species
CAGAAUCUUUGACAAAAUGUCACAACUCAAAAUACCACGUUGAGGAUCAUGAUAACACCUAGUUCCUUAGAACUAGGUAAGUCUCUCACAUAGCAAGAUCAACAACACCAAACACCAACUAAAAUAUUAAUGGAAGUUGAAAAUGUUGUAACAUAACUAUAAACGGAAUACAAUAGUCAAAUAAAUCCCAAACCCAGUAAUACUGAGUCAUAAUCUCUACUGAGAGUACAUAAGAAAACUCAAAAUACAUCACGACUUGUAAUAAAAUAAAAAGUAGAAAAGAAAACAAUAGAAGGUGACUCUAAAGCCUGCGAGCGGAACAACAUGUAUACCUUGAAGUCUCUACAUCAACUCGAAAUCAGCUCACUAAAGACCAGUAUGCUCCAAACUAUAUCUGCAAAUAAAUAUACAGAAGUGUAAUAUGAGUACACCACAAUCGAUAUCCAGUAAGUAUCAAGACUAACCUCGGUGCAGUAGUGAUGAGGUUCAAGUCCAGAUACUCACUAGUCAAAUAACUUGUGCCAAAAAUACCAAAGACUAGAGACAUGAAGAAUAACAUGAAACAAUAACUAAUAACUUAUCAGAACAAGGGAUAGACAUUUAAUACAUAUAAGACUUAGUUUUAACAACAAGUCAUCCAAUAUAAUGGUAGAUAUAUGUGUUACACCCCAUGUUUUCGUACGUAAAAGUGUGUCGUAAGCAAACUAAUGUAAGACCAAAAAUGAGAUCAUCUUUGAAAGUAUAUAAAGUAAGUUAUCAUGUUACCUAAGAUGUUAAAUAUAUUGAUGAUCAUGAACAACAAGUAUAAAGAGGGUUGGAAGGUUUAGAAGCUAAGGAAUGGAAGAAAAUAAUGUUUCGUCAAAAGUCGUCAUGUUGAGAAUAUUAUAACAUAUACUAUUGGGGUGAAACUAAGGUGCUUAACAUAAUAAGGAUGUUAAGGUAUGCUUUAUGUUAGUUUUAUGAUAUUCGUGUGUUAUGUUUUGAAGUCAAGCGAGUUGUGGAACAAAAGUUGGCAAAGGUCAUCACAAGUUACAUUCAUAAAAAUGCUGAAAAUUAGGUUAAAUGUAGAAGCGAUUUUCUCCUAAUUUACUUCGAAUUAUGGGGUUAUAUACCUAAAAAAAAUUAUGAUCUAUGAUUUUAGUUUCUAACGCAUUAAACCAUUUUCCAAUACGACAUCGUAGUACAGAGAUAUUUACAUUUUUGCGAGAUUGCGCCAAGUAGCUCUCUAUGGGACCCACAAUGGCGUUUGAGAUAUAUUGAUAUACAUAAGACACCUCAACCUCGUUUUAACUCUUUAUUUUUCAGUAUCCUCAGAACCUAGACACCUAAAAAUACUCUCUCAAGGUUCUCUCAUGAUCCAAGACCCAAAUAAAGUGAAAACAACACAAAUCAAGUGUCGGGAAUCUCGUCGCACUAGUAAGUUUCUUGUUCUUCUUGUUUUUGCUGAUUUUUGGGUGGUUCCAGCUGGUGUGGGAGGUUCUUUUAAGUGGUUUAAGUUCUAUAAAAUACUCUACCAAGGUUUUCAUAUCAAACUUAGGUUAUUUCAAGUCUUGUAAAUGGAUACACCAUAUUUCAACAUCAAAAGUUAAUUUUAGUGAAUAAAAACACCUCUUUGAGGUUGUGUUGUCAUUAAGGAUAGUUGUGGGAUGUGUAUGGCUGAAUUUCAAGUUGUUGCUACUGGAUAAGGUGAUUAUAAUAGACUACUAACUGUAAUUAAGCUUGCUUAUAUGUUGGUUAAGUUGUUAGGAUGAUAAACUACAAGAUAAUACUUGGAUUAGCUUAAGUCACUUCUAUGGUGUUGUAUUACCAUUGAGGGUUAUUGUAAGCUAAAUAUAACUUGAAUUAUGACUUGAAGCUACUGUAGGAGGUAUUUUUGUUGUGUUAUGUAUGUGUUUAAGAUUAUCUUGAUUAAGUUAAAUGGAUGUACUAGACAUGAACUAGUGAAUAAAGUUGCUAAUUGAAGAUAGUUGGAGUUGUGGAUUGUUUCCUCUGUUAUAAAUAUAUGGUAUAAGGAUGUAAUCAUUAAUGAAUGACUUCAUUAUCAUGUUAAUGAUGCUUUUAAGUUGGUGUAAGAGGUCUACAAGGGGUGAUAAUGGGGUUGAAGGGUGUUGAAGGAAUUCAAUCCGAGCUUGCCGCUUAUAGUAUGUUGACGACUGGUUAAUGAAAUAUUUUGUACCCUAUUAUUGAUGUUGUUCUUAUUGGAAUUGUCGGGUUGUGGUUUUUGGUGUAUGGUAUUGGAGGACGCCCUUUUUACAAGGGAUAUGCUGCCCAAAUUUUCAUAAAACGAGCUACUACCUUAAGUAACAGACUUAGCCUUUACUCAGCACAGAUUUUGAAUCUCCUUAUGUUAUGGUAGACUGAGUUGAGUUGUUUGAAGAGUUUCUUGGAAGCUAUUAAGGACUCAAUGAGGUUAAGGUAUAUUAAGGCUAAACCUUUACUUCAUUUUGGCAUGAUCGAGUAACUACAUGUGUUUGAUAACGAGGCAUAAAGAGAAGUUCUUAUUCCUAAAUUUAUGUACAUUAUCCUAGUCUUAUAAGCUACAGUAUUCUCCCUUAUCGGGACUUCAUAUUCAGUUUAGUUCUGUCUUCUUUCAGCCAAGAGAGCAGAGAUUCUAUAUAUAUACAGUAUUAUAGUUGUUUCUCUCGUAAAUAUGAGUAACAAUUAAAUUUGAUUAGUGGGUUUAAAGAUAUGUGAUUUAGUUCAAUACCAAUUAAUAAUCAAGAAAUAUGACGUAGAAAUGAAAGAUAGAAGUGAAUCAAAUGAAUGUUACCUAGAAGCAUUGACCUCGAUCUUAGUGACCUCGAGGUGGCUUAGGGCAGUAAGAACAAUUAAGUAAUAAAAUAAAGUAAGAACAAUGGACCUAAAGGAUAAUACUGAUGAACAAUAGGCAAAAAGGUAGAGAGUAUAAUCUUUUCUCAGUGAUUAUAUGAUCUUACAAAUGAUUAGGGUCCCCUUUAUAUAAUAGGGGAACCCUAAAUAAGGAAUAUUUCUAUUUAUAGUAAGGAAUAUUCUUGGUACAGCUGUCUAACCGCCUAGUACGGAAUAGUACAAUCAUAUUCCAGGAUUUGCGCCAUGACAAUGGGGACGUGGCAGGAAUCUGACUCUUUCUGGUACAAAUCCAUAACAAUACUAUUUCGGGCUCGAACACACUUGCCCUCGGUAUGCGUCGUGCUUCGCCUUCGAACACAGGUAUGGUUCCUUGAUAUUGAACUUGAUCUUGCCCAGACUCGGACUCAAGUCGGGCCCUAGAGCCUAUAAGUCGAAGGCAUAUAAUUUUGACCGUAUACAGAUAGUCCCCGCAUUUCUUAGAUUGAGAUGGUAAGAAACGUUUUGAUCCUCGUUUUCUCGAAGUCUUUGGUGAUGAUGUCAUUUCGGUGAUGCAAGCAUUUGAAGUGACCGAAACAUCCCAUCGGUCCACUUCCCAAAACAUUGAAUGCACAUUAGUAUUGGUUGGCCACUAGCGUCGCCGAACCAUUGUUGCCCUUCUAUAAAUAUGAGGUGAUUCCUCUGAGUAAAGAACUUUACUCUUUCUUUACAUCAUUCUCAACUUCAUCUCUUUCUCUAACCACCCAUUUUCACCACCUCUUUAAGCGCCAGAAAAUGCCCAGCACUUCUAAGAAAUACCACAUCCUUGUGAAACCCGUAUUCUUUAGCUUACAAUCAUGGCUAAAACUUCCAUAACUGUCCCCAAAAAGGAUAAAGCGUCGUUUUCUUCUACCUCGCAUCCGGCCAAACCAGUGGUACCGCCAACUCUUGAGGAAAUCACCCCUGGCCCUUAUAUAAUUAAGAAGUACUUUAGUAUUGAAAUCCCCCCGACGUCCCCGGAUGAUGCAAGCAUGCAUCUCGAUAUCUUAGCUUGAUCUCAAAGAAGCUCCUCAAGGAUGUGAAGAGGACUGUGACUGGGGAGAUGAGGUCAUGAUUUAGAUCCCAAGCCCCGAGGAAGGCAUUACUUCCCACGUGGAGGAGUUUUUAAGUGCUUACACGUACCCCUUCACACUGGGUCCCCUCAAUCCGGUGGUGAUCGACUUCUGCAAAUCAUAAAAAGUCACCCUCAGUCAGAGUCACCCCUCCUUUUGGCAUAUCAGCAGUGUAUCGUGAUCAUGCUGCGGUAUUUUUCUGAAAAGGCUGAGGGGUUCGAAUUCACCCUCAGCCACCUUAUUUGAUUGUAUCGGCCCUAGUUGUUUCGAGGGCUUAUCAAGCUACAAUGUAAAACAACGAAAGCCUUUUUUACUAGUACUGAUGAAACCAAAGAUCGAGGUUAGAUGAGCCAGUUUGUUAGAGUAAGAACUUUGGAUGUCAUCCCCGGGGAUAAAAUGUUGUUCCUGGAGAGGUGGAACUUUAAUCAUAAGUGGUGUUUAUUUUCCCAGUAUCUAUUCAUAUUCUGCUUUUACAUUUCAUAACACCUUUAUCCUUCCUUUGGCAUCCAAUGCCUGGGUGCCCCAAGCGGUGCCCGACCUCGAGGAUUGUGUCCGAAAGUUAGCUGCCACCUCUUCCUACGAUGAUUGUAAGUGGCGUGAAUUAUCGAAGGACAAGUGGGAGGCCAAGAACAAUGGUAAGUGUUAUUCCCAAGUUUCAAACACUUUUCAUAUAUUGGUGGCGUAAACUUACUCACGCUCACUUGUGCAGGCCUUGGUGAUGCAUCUGAGAUGAGGUCGACUCCGCCCGAGGAAAAGACCAAGCUUUCGAUUCUAAAAUCAGAGAGGCACAACAAAAGUAAAAGGGUUUCGAAGCCUGAAGACCCUCAAGAUAAGAAAACCCCUACUCGCAGGCUGCGGAAAAGGUUUGCUCAAACGAGCACAUAUUCGGCCUAUGAUUCCCCCGAUGAUGAAGAAAAUGACGGUAAAGAGUCGGCGUUGGUGCCUUGAACCAGGAAACCAAUCGAGGCCACCAAACAUUCCGAACUGGAGACCUCAUCCUGUGGUAAGGGAACCUCAAAGAAAGAUGCGGGCAACGCCCCCGUGUCCCCGGAGGUUAAGAUUGUUCCUUCGUCUUCAAUAACUAUACUGGAGGGGGAAAAUGCUGAGACCCCCUAAGCAAAUGAGAACGCCCCGAGUGAAGAGCUCGGGGCCACGACAACAGAUCACUCCCUUUCUUUUCCAACUUAUUCCAAGGGGGCGAUUGAAGAAGCCAAUGCUUUGCGUAUGCCCGAUCCGAGCAAGGUCCUCAAGGAAGAUCCCUUUCAGGGAUGCUACGUUGGGAUUGAGGAUACCAAUGACCUUAAUGAUGCAUCCACCAUCUUCGAAGAGGCUCAAUAUCUCCUCUCCUGGGUAAGUACUUACUUUCAUUAUUGUAAUUUUUCUUUUUCUUUAUUUUCUUUUGACUGAUAUAUCUCCACUUCACGUAUAGGCCAUCGCAAAGUUAAGAGCUGAGCUGAGCCAAUGUGAGGCCGAGCAUAAGAAGGUUUCGGGCCAUGAGAAGGCCCUGAGGCUCCUCCAAAGCCAAAAGGAAGAGGAGUUUAAGGAUCUCCGGACUACAUUGGCCAAAGCUCAAAAACGCGAGUCCGAGCUAUAUGAGCAGGUAAUUAUGAUAUUAACAUAGUACGUCCUUCUUGGCCCUACUUCAGAGGCUAACACUUCAAUAUCUCAGUUGCAGCAAAAGCUAGAGAUGAUUUGGCAGCUCCGGAGCGAGGUUGAUCAAGUCAAAGCUGAUUGUCAUUAAUGGAAAGAGAGCAUGGAUCAGCUCGUUGCCAAUAAGGAAGCCGUUACAACUAAACUGGCCUCGGCGGAAACUAAAAUCUGAGGCAUUAAAGCUAAGGGUCUGGAUCAGGCCAAGAAAAUUGAGGAGUUGGAGGCAGAGCUCGCUAAAACCUGAUCCGAAGAUGUACAGGCUAAGGCUAAAACUGAGAAGACGAAGGUUGCGACUGAUAAAUCCAUCGUUGUAUAUUUAAGGGACGCUGCGGUUGUUCAAGCCAAGUUGAGGGAGGCCUCCGACCGGGAAAAAUGGAGCAAUGAUUUGGCCAAGUUCCAAGCCUCGAGGGAGACCCUUGAAGAAAUCCACGCCCGAGAGUUCGACCUCGCUGAGAAGAUAGCCGAGGCAAAGGCUCGGGAAACCGAUACCAGGUUUCUUGUCUCCUCUGAUGAUGAGGAUGUAGUGAGUGGUUCCAGGGACGGGGAAGGUGAAGAGGAUGCUCCUGAGGGAGAGGAGGCUACCGAAGAUAGAGCUGCGGAAGGUGUAGUUCCUGGUGAUGGCGCUCUAGGGGAUAUGACCCCAAAAAUAGAUUAGGGUUUCUUUUUCUUUUUUGUGCAAGGGCCCCUUGUGGGAAUUAUAAAUAUGUUUUGUAAAACUUCCCUUAUGAAUAUUAAGUAUCUUUUUUUUCUAUCCUCGACUUGUGUUGAAAUUUAUUUUGUUCUCAUUUGUAGAAGAUUUCGAUAAUUCAAAUAAUCAGCUUGAGUAUUGGUUCAGACUCAUAACGUAAUAAACCCUUAGGUUAUUAUUGCUCAAUAUAAUACUCCUUAUGGUUUUAAAUAAUCCUCAAGUUAAGCUUAAGUCAAUUUGAUGCGAGCUCAGAACAAUGGGACUCUUGGGUCUGAGUUGAGUGAGAACGAGGUCUCGUACUCUUAUAUGCUUUUGGCCCUUAAUAUCUUUUAACCUGGCUCUUAGGCUCUUAUAUAUCAGCCCUUAGGCUCUUCAAAAUGGACCUUAGGCUCUUUAUGUUGGGCCACGUCCGCCUUUAAAGUGGAUAUAAGUUUUCCCUUCUUUUCAGCUAAAAGACUUAGUGAAAAUUUUUGCAUGCCUUGGCAUGUAUUUUUUUUGUACCCAUUUGGGGUUUUCAAAGGGUGGACAUAUCGGAACCUUAUCAGUAAUUUGUUUGUGUAAACAUAAUUGAAUACCUCUUGAGGUAUUUCCAAAGGCCGAUGUUAUCGAAGCCCUUGGAUUAUUUGAGGGCUAAAUUUAUCGAGGCCGUUAGAUUUUUCGGGGGUUAAAUUUAUCGAAGCCCUUCAUAUUUUGCUUUUGCAGAGGGUAGCCUAAUUUAACUGGUUUUUCGAUGUUCGAAGGCCUUUAAUUUAUAGCGGAAGUCAGAUAUCUCCGAGCCGCAUUAUUUUGGCCGUAGCCUUUAUAUGACCGUAGUCUUUAGUAUGGUCGUAGCCUUCGGGUAUGUCACUUGGACUUGUUUCCCGAUAACUUUCCGAAUUUGUUCGAAAAGUUAGUCCUCGAGUACAUUGACCAUGGACUUUUUUUCGAGGGGAUUCCCCUUUGAGGUCUUAUAAGUCCAAGUUUUCGAUGACUCGAAUGUACUAUCUAUCGAUGAUAGUCCCCGAGUAUUCGGGGGUGCUUUUAUGCUUUGGCUCUUGAGCCAUUUCCGAUAGGAUUAUAAGUUUAGAGCUCGUAUAAUAGUAUACUUUCUUUGAGACCCAAGGUGUUUUUGAUAUUAAUCGAAUGCUUCUUCAAAUAAUUGAUACAAGCAUACAUGUUUUGCCGUCGAGGCUCGACUAUUCUAUAUAGACACGGUUCAUUUGACCGUUUGGCCCAUUACAAAGUUCUCCUGUCGAGGCCCUCUUAGGCAUGAAGCAUUUUCCUCACAAUAUAAACAUUUGAGAGUGAUGCCCCCACAGUAUUCGAGGUUUAUUGAAAAGAAGCCUUGGAUACUGUUGAGUUUUCCUUAGGUAGCACAUAGUUGUUGACUCAUUAAAAACCUUGUCGGUAAAACCCAUUUGGGAAAAAAUCAGAUCUAAGGGAGAAAGAGUGCAACGCAUGAUUUAAAACCUAAGGCCUUCUGUAAAAAAUGAUGCCUUCGAGAUCGUACGCCUUCGAUCCAAAAUCUGUAAUGAGUAGUUUUAAACUCAAAAGGACAAAAAGGAUAAAGUCGUACCUUAACAGUAGUAUCGUUUGAGCAAUGAUAUGUUCCAAAUGUUUGGAAGUUGUUGAUCCUCCAUUGUGCUAUGUUUGUAAGAUACUUUACCGACAACUCCGAGGACUCGGUACAAUACUGCCCAAUUCGGUCCUAGUUUCCCUUCAUUUGGGUCUCGAGUAUUGAGGGUAACUUUCCGUAGGACUAAGUCCUCGAUUCCAAAAUAUCGAAGGUUGGUUCUUCUAUUGUAGUAUCUUUCGAACCUUCGCUUCUGUGUGGCCAUCCGCUGUUUCUCGCUUUUCAACUAACAAUUCUAGGCUACCAUUCAUGGCCUCGUGGUUUGACUCCUCCGAUAUAUGUCAAAAUCUGGCGUUGGGUUCCCCGACCUCGAUGGGGAUGAGGGCCACAAACCAUAUACUAGAGAAAAUGGGGUAGCCCCCGUGCUAGACUUCUAUGUUGUCCGAUAUGCCCAAAGGGCCUCGGGUAAAACUUCUCUCCAUUUUCCCUUUGCAUCAUCUAACCUUUUCUUUAAGUUCUGAAUGAUAGUUUUAUUUGUUGACUCGGCCUGUCCAUUUCCGGUUGGGUGGUACAGUGUUGAUAUAAUCCUCUUUAUUUUAUGAGCUUCAAGGAACUCCGUUACCUUUCUAACGAUGAAUUGCUUUCCGUUGUCACAUAAAAUCUCGACUGGUAUCCCAAAUCAACAUACGAUGUGGUCCCAGAUAAAGUCAAUGACUUCUUUUUCUCGAACCUUCUCGAAGGCCUAUGCCUCCACCCACUUAGAAAAAUAAUCAGCCAUAAACAAAAUGAAUAUAGCUUUACCUGGGGCCAUUGGUAGAGGGCGGACUAUAUCCAUUCCCCAUUUCAUGAAAGGCCACGGGGAUAAGACUGAAUGGAGUUGUUCUAUAGGCUGAUGGAUCAUCGGUGCAAAUCGUUGACACUUAUCACAUUUUUUGACAAAUUUUUUAGUAUCUUUUUCCAUAUUGUCCCAGUAGUAUCCUUCUUUGAUAAUUUUACGGCCCAAAGAUUCGGCACUGGAAUGGUUCCUACAAGUGCCUUCGUGGAUUUCUCGUAGGAAAUAAUCGGUGUCCCCUGGCCCCAAGCACACCGCCAAUGGUCCAUCGAAUGUUUUUCGGUACAACGUUCCAUCUUUAUAUAUUGCAAACCUAGCAGCCUUGGCUCGUAGGGCCCUUGAUUCUUUAUGGUCCGAUGGGAGCUUUCCAUUCUUCAAAUAGUCGAUGUACUUGUUCCUCUAGUCCCAUGUUAAACUUGUUGAAUUUAUCUCGGCAUGACCCUCUUUAACCACAAACUUUGAUAGUUGGACGAUAGUCCCUGGGACAAUGUCAUCUUCUUCGGCCGCAGAUCCCAGAUUAGCAAGUGCUUCGGCCUUGCUAUUUUGCUCUCGAGGUACAUGAUCUAGAGUCCACUCCUUGAAGCAGUGCAGUGUUACUUGUAGCUUGUCCAGGUACCUCUGCAUUCUAUCCUCUCGAACCUCGAAACUCUUGUUUACCUAAUUUACCACCAAUAGAGAAUCGCAUUUGGCCUCAAUGACUUCUGCUCCCAAGCUUUUGGCUAGUUUGAGACCAGCAUUCAUGGCCUCAUACUCGGCUUCAUUGUUAGUUAAUCUAGGAGUUUUGAUAGAUUGCCUAAUGGUAACACCCCUUGGUGGCUUCAAGACAAUAUCGAGUCCGUACCCCUUCACAUUCGAGGCACCGUUUGUGAAAAGGGUCCAUACCCUCAAUGUUGUAUCCGAACUCAACAGGAGUUCUCUUUCCACUUCGGGUACGAGGGUUGGCAUAAAAUCAGCCACGAAGUUAGCUAGGAUUUGAGACUUGAUGGCCAUUCGGGGUUGAUAUUUGAUAUCGUACCCGCUAAGCUCGAUGACCCAUUUGGCCAAUCGACCCCAUAGAUCGGGCUUAUUCAAAACAUUUCGAAGGGGGUACGUGGUUAAUACACAUAUAGGACGACAUUAAAAAUAUGGUUUUUGCUUUCUAGAUGUGUUUAUCAAUGCAAGUGCUAAUUUUUCUAACUGAGGGUACCUAGUUUCAGAGUUCGGCCUACGUAAUAAAAAGGGAAUUGCGUACCUUGCUCUUCUCGAACUAGUACGCCACUUACUGCUAUCUCGGACAUAGCCAAGUAUAGAUAUAGUUUUUCCAUCUACCUUCAGGGUGUGAAGCAAAUGCUUGCUCGACAGAUAUCGCUUUAAUUCUUCUAAGGCUUGCUGACAUUCCGGGGUCCUUGCGAAAUCCUUUUUCUUUUUGAGCAAGGAAAAGAACUGGUUACUUUGAUCCGACGACCUCUAAAUGAAUCGACCCAAGGCAGCUAUUUGCCCUGUUAGCCUUUGCACGACCUUCACACUAUCCACUAUCAUGAUAUUCUCGAUAGCCUUGAUCUUAUCGGAAUUGAUUUUGAUACCAUGAUUUGAUACCAUGAAGCCGAGGAACAUACACGAGCCGACUCCGAAGGCAUAUUUUUCCGGGUUGAGCUUCAUGUUGUAUUUCCUCAAAAUUGCAAACAUUUUCUGCAAAUGAUCUAAAUGGUCCUCUACGCACAGGGACUUAACCAACAUGUCAUCAAUAUAGACUUCCAUUGUUUUACCUAUUUGUUCUUCGAACAUUUUGUUAACUAGGCAUUGGUAUAUAGCUCCUGCAUUUUUUAGCCCGAAGGGCAUUACGUUGUAACAAUAAGUUCCAAACUUAGUUAUAAAUGAAGUCUUUUGCUGGUCCUCUGGGUUCAUCUGAAUUUGAUUGUACCCGGAGUAGGCAUCGAGAAAAGUUAGGGUCUCGUGGCCAGCCGUGGAAUCGAUCAUUCGCUUGAUGUUUGGCAAUGGGAAAGAAUCUUUUGGACAUGCCUUGUUCAAGUCCUUAUAGUCCACAUACAUUCUAAGCUUGUUUCCUUUUUUAGGAACUACAACUACAUUUGUUAACCAUUCGGGGUAUUUUACCUCCCAGAUGGAUCAUAUUUUAAGUUUAGUUACCUCGUCUUUUAUGAAGGCAUGUUUUACCUCAGACUGAGGCCUCCUUUUUUUCUUUACCGGUUUGAACUUGGGAUUGGUGCUUACCGAUGCGUGGUGAUCUACGUUGGAAUCCCUGUCAUAUCUAAAUGGGACCAAGCAAAGAAAUCCAUAUUAUCAAUAAGAAAUUGAAUGAGUUUUUUCCUAAGUUUGGGAGUCAAUCCCAUUCACAAAUAUACCUUUUUCUCGGGCAUGUAUUCGAUCAAAAUUACCUGCUCCAGCUCCUCGAUAGUUUAUUUGGUAGCAUCGGAUUCUUCGGGAACAACGAAGGUUCAAGGAGUAAGGAAAUCCUCAUCUCCGUCUUCGAUUACUUGUUGCUCUAACUCCAUCGAGGCUGGAGGUGGUAAUUGCUAUUUCGCUGCCUAUUUGCCUCUGAUGCUCGAUUUCUCCGAGGUCGAAGGCUCUGGUAUUGGCACCACCUCCUCGAUCGCAAACAUUUCCUUUGCAGCAUGUUGCUCUCCGUAGACUGUUUUUACUCCUUGCUCUAUUGGGAACUUCAUCAUCUGGUGAAAAGUUGAAGGAACUGCCCUCAUGUUGUAUAUCCAUGGACUCCCGAGGAGCGUGUUAUACCUCACAUCACCUUCAAUGACAUGGAGCUUCAUAUCUUGUAUGGUUCUGGCUACAUUUACUGGCAAGAUAAUUUCUCCCUUAGUUGUUUCACUUGCUAUGUUGAAUCCAUUUAGAACCCGGGAUACAGGUACAAUAUGAUCUUGUAGGCCAAGUUAUUCCACGACCCUCGAUCUGAUUAUGUUUGCUGAGCUACCUGGAUCCACCAAAACACAUUUUAAUUGAAUUUUAUUCAAAAGGAUAGAGAUUACCAGGGCGUCAUUGUGAGCCAGAGAUAUGCCUUCUGCUUCCUUGUCACAGAAUGAUAAGACGUCCCUGGGCACAUAGCUCCGAGUCUAUUUUUCUUUGGUGAUUGAUACUUUGGUGCUCUUGAACACAGGUCGUUGAGGGACAUCGACUCCACCAAUGAUCAUAUGGAUUACAUGUCGUGGUUCUUCUUGUCCACUUUUCCUUGUAUCUCUCUCCCUGAAGUGAUUCUUAGCCCGAUCACUUAGGAAUUCUCGAAGGUGGCUCUCGUUGAACAAAUGAGCCACUUCUUCCCUUAGCUGCCUGCAAGCUUCUGUUUCAUGACUAUAUGUUCCAUGAUACUUACACAUCAAGUUCGGGUUCCUUUGAGAAGGAUCGGUCUGUAUUGGCUUGGGCCACUUGGUAUUUUUGAUUCUCCCAAUAGUUGAGACAAUCUUUGAUGCAUCUAUGGUGAAGUUCUACUCUGAUAAUCGAGGGGACUUGGCAGGGUCAGUGUGCUUAUCCAACUCGCUUUUACUCAUGAGUCCCCGAGAACUUUGACUUCGAUCGUGUCUCCAAUCGCUCCGAGGAGUGUUGCGGCUCGGCCUGCUAUUCCUUCGAUCGGCAUAUGGCUGAUACCGUUCUUUGUUGAAUCUCGAUUCUUGGUCUGUGUUCCUCAGGGGCUUGGUUGCAAAUCUAUUAGGAUUAACUGAACCCGAAGGGGAUCCCAACUGGUCAUCCUCGACCUUGAUCUUUGAUUGAUAAGUGGUAAUUCCACUCUUUCCAUCUGAAAUCGGCACACAAACUCCCUUAGCAUCUCGUCAUUCCUUUGCUUUAUUUUGAAAACGUCCGAUUUUCUCGUGGCCACCUUUAUGGCCCUGAUGUGUGCUUUCUCAAACGCAUCUUCCAGCAUAGCAAAUGAAUCAAUGAAGUUAGGAGCUAAGUUGUGAUACCAAAUCAUAACUCCCUUUGUAGUGUUUGCCAAAUUUUUUCAACAAAACUAACUCGAUUUCAUCGUCAUUCAAGUCACUUCCUUUAAUCCCACAAGUGUAUGAAGUUAUAUGCUCGUUAGGGUCGGUUGUCCCAUUAUAUUUGGGUAUAUAGGGCAUGAAAAACUUCUUGGGAAUAGGCAUCGGAGCGGUACUCGGGGGGAAUGGUUUUUGUAUGAACUUUUUGGCGUCUAGACCUUUCAAAACUGGAGGUGCCCUCGGUAUCUGGUCUACCCGGUAGUUAUAAGUUUUCACCUUCUUGUCAUUGUCUUCAACGUUUUUUUUCUGGACUGGACCUUCUUGGUUAGUUCCUUGAGCAUUCUCAUAAUUGUGGGGUCAGUCCUGGGGCCACUUUCAUCUGGUCUUUCCAACGCUGGUUCAGUACGCCGAGUGUUUACUAGUUUGGCUGUGUUUGGAGUUCUAUUCUGGCUCUGAAGUUGAGCGAUGGCGAUUUGUUGAGCCUGCAACAUCUCAAAUAUCACUUGGAGGCUGACUUCCCCUUCUUCCAUUCCUUGUGUUCUUUGGCCACCAGGCCGGGCAUCCCUGCGUAUAUCUCCUUAAGGGUCCGCGCCUAGAUCUGCAUUCAAAGAAAUGUGUGAACUAACAUUAACAGGUUCCACAUUUGGCAUUUCCCCUAGGUUUAUCGGUGGUACACCGACUCCUGUAUUGCUAUUUUCCCCAAGACCUUCGUUGUCAUAAAUGGGUGCGUUUUGUGAGCUAGACAUGUUUUAGCCUGAGAAUCAAAAAAUCUUUGACAAGAAAAAGUUCAAAAGCAACGUGUAUAAUGAAAAUUAGUAAAGAAAUAAUCACAAUUAUCUUUAUCCCCACGGUGGGCGUCAAACUGUUUACCUCAAACAUACGAGUAACAAUUACAUUUAAUUAGUGAUUUUAAAAAUAUGUGAUUUAGUUCAAUACCAAUUAAUUAUCAAGAAAUAUGAAGUAGAAAUGAAAGAUAGAAGUAAAUCAAACCAAUGUUACUUAGCUACAGUGACCUCGAGCUUAGUGACCUCAAGGUGGCUUAAGGCAAUAAGAACAAUUAAGUAAUAAAAUAAAGUAAUAACAAUAAAGUUAAAGGACAAUUCUUAUGAACAGUAGGCAAAAAGGUAGAAAGCAUAUUCUAUUCUCAGUGAUUAUAUGGUCUUACAAUGAUUGGGGUCCCCUUUAUAUAAUAGGGGAACCCUAAAUAAGGAAUAUUUCUAUUUACAGUAAGGAAUAUUCUUGGUACAGUUGUCUAACCGCCUAGAAUAGAAUAGUACAAUCAUAUUUUGGGAUUUGCACCAUGACUUUGGGGACGUAGCAAGAAUCUAACUCGUUCUGGUACAAAUCCAUAAUGGUACUAUUUCGGAGUCGAACACACUCGACCUCGGUAUUCAUCGUUCUUCGCCUUUGAACUCGGGUUUGGUUCCUCGAUCUCAAACUUGAUCUUCCCCGGACUCGGACUCAAGACGUGCCCACAAGCCUAUAAGUCGGAGGCAUACAAUUUUGACCGUAUACAAUAGUAUUUUCACCAUUAUUGAGCUAUAAUCGAUGGGCAAGCUCUAAUUGGGCAACUGCUGGUCAGAUAGGAAGUUAUAUACCGAGCGUACUGUGGUCGAGUGCCUAUGAGCGAGCCUAGAAUUGCCGAGAUACAGAGCCUAGUAUGGCCAAGCGCUUAUGAGCAAGUCUACUAUGGUAGAGCAGUUAAACAUACCGAGCCUUAUAAGGCCAGAAAACUAUGUUACUUACUAUAUUGAGAGAGUUAAGUCAGUAUCAGCAAGUAAGCAUAUCUUCAGAUUAUCUUUGACUCCAAGUUACUUUCAGUUAUUAUAUUAUCAAUUCAGUUUCAGCUUUUAGUUAUUUUAUUGCCUUACAUACUCGGUACAUUAUUUCGUACUAACGUUCUUUUUGUCGGGGAUGCUGCACUUCAUGCAUGCAGGUCGUGAUUGAUAGCUGGACAGACCCUCUCAGCAGGCAGAGUCAAACAUCAGCUUGGUCGGUAAGCUCUACUUCCUCGAAGUUACUAGGUCUAGACCUUAGAGUCCAUUUUAUGUAUACAGGUUUGAUGGGUAGGUCGAGGCCCUGUCCCGACCAUGCUACAGUUCAGUUAUCUUUAGAGGCUUGUAGACGAGUCUUCUAUAUUUUGUAUAUCAGUAGAUGUUCAUGGCGACUUUCUCGGCCUACACAGUUAUAUAUAUCAGCUUUUGGGUAUGUUUACCCCACAUAUGAGAGAGACGUUAUUUUAAGACGAUUCAGAAUAUGGCCUCAUAGGCCUAAGUUGUAGGUUAUCCCUCUAGAGUUUACAGUUACAGAGUGGUACGCUUCGGUCGAGUAUGGCACUGGGUGCCGGCCAUGCCUCUUCUGGUUUGGGGCGAGAAAAACAUGGUAUCAGAGCAGUUCUGUCCUUCGGAGUCUUCAAGCGGUGUCUAGUAGAGCCUUGUUUAUAGAUGUGUUGUGCACCACAUUACAUAAACAGGAAGCUACAAGGCAUUUUGGAGUAUGUUACCCUUCUUUCAAAUACACAUCAUGCUAUAAAGCUGAGUCAUAAGAGUUUGAGCCAAGACUUAUGUUUGCUAAUUAUAGAGAUGCUUGCAAUUUGAAAAAUUACAUAUAGCCAGAGGGCUAAUAUAGCAGCAGGUAAGGGCAUUAGUAGAGAGAGAAUUCUUGAUGAUGUGGCCCUGUUUGAGGCCCUAUUAGAUCAUGCAUAUCAGAUGGUUCCCUCUAGAAUAGUACAAUCAGAUAUGAAUACUAGAAUGUUCAAAAAUAUCAGAAGAAAUGUAGUGGCAUCCCAGAAAAGAUAAAUAAUUACUUUAGCAUGACUCCCGCCCCUAGUAAAAAGAGAAUAAUAGGUGACCCGAAGAACCAGUGAGAUAAAGCAAGGAGAGAUAAAAGUGAAAGAAUGUUUUGUUGAAGUUUUUACAAUAAGGUAAAAACAGAGAUAUUAGUAGGAGAAUAAGAAGAGAGUAAAUGAAGCAUUACGGGUAAGAUGUGAUAAAUGGGUGAUAACGGUAAAUCAAAAUAUGAUAUGAUGACAGAGUUUAUAGUCAAGUGAAGGAAAAGACAUGAGGUGACAAGCUUUGAGAUAAUAAAAGAGUAUAGGCCAAAAGUCAUAUCCUCAUUUUAAGAAAUGAGUUGGUGAGUCCAAUGUGAUUACCAGUACAAAAUUUAGACCCCCGGAGUAAGAGAAAUCAGCAUGGGCUAGUGAACAAGAUAAAUUGAACAUCAAUUAGGGAUCGAAUGAUAUGAUAAUAGUCGACAUCAAGAUAAUUUCAAAGAUCGUAUUCCAACAAUAAUAAAAUGGACAACAUAAGAAUAACCUUUAAAGGUCAUUCAGGAAGAAGCUCCUCCAAAGCAAAAACUUUGAGCAAAGUUAAGCUUAAGGGACUAAGUGUACCAGUUACCGUAAGUGUCAUCCUUGUGCGUAAGGAAUUCAGUUAUCCCUGGUAGAGAAGGGUUACCGCAAGGCGAGUAAGAGUCAGUGCAGACAUGAAAAGACGCCAAAGAUAAAGAGGUAAACCAUAUAUAGGUAAAUCUUCAUAGCAUUAAAUGCUCGUCCUCCCCUAAAGGGGGAAGACAGUGUGAUAUGGUAGUAUGGCGGAGUUAUGUAGUUCAAGUAACUAUAGAAUAGUAAAGAAAGAAUGCAGUAAAAGGCAAAAUGAAUGAAAUUGCAUUUAUUCAGAUCCUAUAGAUAUGUUACGACUUCAAAACAUUAUUCAAGCACGAUGUCGGGAGAAGGAGUAAUGGGUCCCACACUAGAUGUUAUUGAUAAAUAAGUGAGAAUGAAUAUUUGAUACAUUAGGAGCCAGUGCAAAAGGUAAGUUAAGACAAAAGACAUAACCCAAGAGAAAAUAUGAGCAUGGACUAACAAGUAGUUAGUAGUUAAUUCAGGAAGAGCUUAGUUAUGUCUAGACAAGAGGUCUUAGAUAAAUGAGUAGAUCAUGCAAGAAAAAUAUAGUGAAACCCAGCAUAGGAAAUUCAAUCUCGCAUAUACGACAUCGUAAUCCUUGAGGAAUAUUCAGAUAGGAGUUGGGGUAGUAGAAGGUACAAUAUAAGUGUUACAGAAAUAAAAGAUAGUGCCACUAGGGAGACAAUUGAAAUUCAAUUCAGAAGCAAUCCUACGAGCACAAGGGCAUGGAGGUAAGUAACUAAAUAUAAUGAUAGGUGAGUAAGAACAUUAGAAAUUCCGUGGGUAUAUACUGUAAUAAGCUCACAGCUUUACAAGAGUCAGAGGGUCUUCCAUAAGCACUGCAAUGAAAGACUAGCUGAGAAAAUAAGGAAGAAGGUUUCAAGCUAAACAUAGUGAUCUAAAGAGGAAAUGAUCUUAUAACAACUGUAUCACUACAACAUUGUAUACACUCCAUAAUAAAGUGGAACCUAUCGUGGCUAAUGAACGAGGAAAAAAUUAAUAUUCGAGAUCAUAUGAGUUGCACAAAAUUCCAAUAUAUGUAGGCACUAAGAUAAGCCAAAUAUUCAUGGAACAAGUGGUAGAACGACCAAGAAAAGUAAUUGCUUACUUUUAAUAAAAGCUGAGAAGGCAUGAAAAGGAUUAUUCGAUCUAUGACCCAGAGUUAGUUACGUUAUGAACACACAUAAGAUUUUGGAGUGUUAUCCAUGCAGCAUAUAUGUUGACAACGAUACAGCUACAGGAGACUCCAGUAUAAGUUAAAAGAAAGAAUUGAGUCCAUGUCACAUACAAAAGCUUAAAUUGCUAGAAGGUUAUAUCAUAGAUGUUCCAUAGAGUCUACGAGAGGCUAAAGUAAUAACUAAUACCACGAGUCGCAGAUCAGAAGAUAAAGUAAGCCUACUUAAAGGCUGAGAUAUAAGAGGAAACUAAAGAGUUACAUCAGCUAAAUGAAUUAGGAGUCUGAUUAUUAGACCCUGAUGAGUAUAGAAAUCGUGAUUCAGAACAUUGUAUAAUCACUGUAAAUAUCAGAGGUACAAAAGAGAUAGUACAAUAGCAAUAUUCUAUAAUGGCUCAACGAUAAAUCUAGUUAGAACAGUACCAACCUCAUAAGAAGUCGGUAUGAAGCCUUCGCCGGAUUGUGUAUGCACACGAUGUCGAAGUAUUAUAAUAGAUCUUUAAGGUGUGGAUGUGAAUUCCACCUAUGUGGAAUGGAGGUUAUGUGUCACGCCCCUACCUGGGGAGGCAUGGCUGGCACCUGGUGCCGUACUAGCUCGAGCAAACCACUUUAUAACUCAUUGUUUUUUCUAACUAUCAUGGACCAACAUGGCCACAACUUGUAAUGUACAACUAUAAGUGGGCAAGCAUUGUAUCAAUGAACCAUCGUUCUUAAAACAUGAAUACAUAUGGGCCGUCAAGGUAUCUAACAUACUGUACAAAAUGAACCUCUAUCUACAAAGCCUCUAAGAUUGUUUGACAUCAAAUGGGACAGGGUACCCGCCUACCUAUAAGUCUGUAGCAAAACUCUGAAAUGAUGACUCAUAGACUCGGUUGCACUCCGAAUAAGGUGGAGUCUUACCGAUCCUUCGUUGAAUGCCAAUCUCGUCUACUAUGAGGACUCGUCAAACUGAUUAUCUAUACCUACAGGAAUGAAUGCAGCGUCCCCAAAAAAAGGACGUCAGUACGAGUAAUGUACUGAGUAUGUAAGGCAGAACUGAAACAUAACCAUUAUCCAACAUUAAUUAAAGACAUAUAAGAAUCAACCUGAAUCUCUGAAGUGCCACCAUAAAUGCAUACUUAUUAUACUUACAUAUAUAUAUAUAUAUAUAUAAUGCUUCUCUUUGAGACUAUUAUCCAUAUGUAUGAUGCAUGGUUGCCCAACUGAUCAGUAGUAACUGCCCGAUCGGCUGUAGCGCGGUGGUAAAUGCAUGACUGCCCGAUCAGCCAUAGCUCGGUGGUAAAUACGUAACUGCCCAACCAGCCGUAGCUCGAUGGUAAAUAUGUAGCUUCCCAAGCGGCCGUAGCUCGAUGGUAAAUAUGUAAUUACCCAACCGGCUGUAGCUCAGUGGUAAAUGCAUGACUACCGGACCGGCCGUAGCUCGGUGGUAAAUGAUGAUACAUAACUUCACAACUGUUGGUAAAUGCCUCAAGGACCUCAAGGGUCUUGAAAUUAGCCUGGAAUAAGCCUUCAAUCUCACACUGCAGAAUAUCUCCAGAAUUCCAAAGCUAGGCCCUCCAAUAGACUAUCCUAAAUUUUGCAAACUAAGGAUAUACAGCCUAUUCUUUUUAUAGAUAAUUAACUCAGGAGAUAUAUCUUCUUUCCUUAAGUCAAUUGCUUAUGAAAGUCACUGAAAGGAAAAAUAGUCUUGCAAGAAUGUAUUACUAGCUGAAACUAUCUUUGGAAACCAACAGAUAAACAAUAAUAGCUGAAGACUAUUCUUCUUGUGGACAUAGUAUAGUAGUUGACAAACACUUUUAACAUUUUUUGUUAGAAAAAAUUAGUUGUGAGUGUGGGUGCAUGUCACUUAUAUUAUGAACAUUAAUAUAUUUAUCAUAUACCUCAAUAGGGAACUAGAUAUGUACUUAGACAUGCUUGAAUAUCACUUUACGGGAAUGAAUAACAUGGGCAUCAUUAACUGCUAAGAGUAGAACUACUUAUGGAAUAUCAUUACGUUUAUGUAUCGUUACUUGGAUCAUGCCUAAAGAAGGAAGGGAUAGUCUUAACAUAUCUGAGUCGAUUCUUUUGACAAUCCCGCUAACACAUGUUUAUUGCGAUAAAACACGGAACAAGUUGUAUGAAAAGCUCGAAGCAACUACAUUGCUAUAGUAUUAAGCCAUUUCAUAUGAAUUGCUGAUGCAAAUCACGUUUUGGCUCAUUACCCUUAUCCAAAGGCUUGGAACUAUGUGCUUUACCAGGGAAAAACGUAAUUCUUAUCUUGUCCAUGGAAAUUUUUUUAAAAUAAUUAUACACCAUAUUCAGCUCUACUUCGUUUAUGCAUCUUUUACUUUGUCUAUUAACCAAGUUCAAAAGGAGAAACAGAGAAAAGAGUAAAAUGCAUAGCCUUUGGGCUACUAGCUAACACACUCGAGUACUUUAUUCCUUUACCCUAUUAUAACCACGAUAUCAAUGUUUCAAGCUUCAAAACUUGGUGUAUGAUGCCACCUUUCAAUUUAAUUGAUGAGUCACUUUGUUUGAUUUGUGUUGCUGCCAUGUGAUGUCCUUAUCCCAAUUAUUUUAGAUAAUUACUAAUUUACUCGCAUAAUUAAGAAUUAUCUCAAAUUACUUAAAAUACUACUUACUUUUAACACACUUUAUACACUUUACUAUCAUGGUCAUGCGGUACCAUAUAAAAUACAUAUACUAUUAUNNNNNNNNNNNNNNNNNNNNNNNNNAUUUUUCAGACUUAUUUUUUACAAAAAUUGUUCCACUUAAAAUACCAUAUCAAAUGUAUAUAUAUAUCGGUAGCAAGGUUGUUAAACUUACUGGGUGUAACAUUACGAAAGAGAUAGAAGAUACGAUGCAAGAUUUAAAGGUAAGUAAGGUACAUGUGAAGAAGGUACGAGAUGCCCAAGUACAAAAGGUUACAAACAAUCCAUAUAUCAGAUAGAGGGCUGGAAGCGUCAUAAUUCUGUAUCAAGAAAUUGAUAUUGUUGUCAUCAGUGGCAUAUCUUCCAGCCUAUGGUUUCAAAAUAUAGAGAGGUCUAGUUAAUAGAGUAAAGAAGAGUUAGAGACGAUAUGAUAUCUCUCUUGAGGUUCCAGAAUAACAUAAGAAAAUAUAUGGUGCUAGCAAGUUAAAGGAAGUUUGCGAGUAGUAUAAAUAGAUAUAUGUAGGUCGCAAGCUAAUGUAUGGUAGAGCGGCAAGGUUUUAGGUAGACAGAAGUAAGGAUAAGAAAAGGUGAGUGAGAAGGAGACAAGAUUAGGUAAGUCCUCGAGAUUAAACCCAUCACAACAAGAGAGCUGAUGGUUUCCAUAAGUUAUAAAAAGCUCAGUAUAGAAUGAGUGAACUCAGAGGAGUUUAAGACUAGGAGAAUUUAGAAAGAUGGGAUUUUUCCCUACUGGUAGAAUAAGGGUGUAAUUGUGGUAGAUAAGAGGAUGACGUUUAGGCCUUUGAUUGGGUAAUGAUUCAAAGGAAAGGGGAUUUCAUGAAUUGUAUGGGAUUAAAAUAUCCCGAUAAGGUGAAUCACAUUGGGAUGCUAUGAAAUACGAUUAUUGAAGUAUAGUAUUGACCCUAAGUAGAUCAGGACACCAACUCCAGAUGUUUCCCGAUGAAACGUGAGCCCUAGUGACAAUAUAUUACAUAAGAGGUUUUAAGUGAUCAGUGAUAGAUAAUAGAUCAAUUUAAGGUGAAGCAACAAUAGAUGGAUGAAUGUUCCAAAGUGUGAGAUAGGUGGUUGUCAUUCUUAAGAUGAGUAGUAAUGAGGAAGCAUUAAGGGACUUAAAUUUAUACCUAUAGGAUAAGCAGUAAGCGAAUAACCUGGAGUUGGGUAGAAGACCUUGGCCAUAAUAAAUAAAAGUAAGGGUUGUGGUAUAGUAUAAGAUACCUAGAUAUAGUAAAGCCAUAAGUAUAGAUAAUUGAGGCUAUGAAACAAGAUAUAGCAUUAGACAUAAGUUCGACAAAGUACCAAGUGAAAAACUUCAGUACACCUAUAGAUUCCCAGAGGGACAUCUUGUCAUAGUUCUGUAUAUGUUCACAAAGUGAGACCUAGAGAUUGGCUAAAAUAUGAUGGAAAAAUGAGAGAAGAGUCACAUAGGCGCACAUACAAGGACAAAGUCGUACAGACUGCAUGACAGUAUGUCACAACAGUUACGAGAUUGGAGGAAUUCCUACAACAAGUCGUGGUGUGAGAAAGAGGCCUAAAGGGGGGAAUGCCCUAGCCUCGGAUUUAUUCAUAAAACAGUUGCCUAGAUGGCAAGGGCAAUAUUAAAUUAUGCAUAACAGCUAUGGUUUAUGAGACUGAUAAGCGCACAGACGAAUAUUCCAAAAGGGGGAAUGAUGUUAUACCCCAUGUUUUCGUACAUCAAUGUGAGUCAUAAGUAAACUAAUGUAAGACAAAAAAUGAGAUCAUAUUUGGAAGUACAUAAAGUAAGUUAUCAUGUUACCUUGGAUGUUACAUACAUUGAAGAUCAUGAUGGCACCUAGUUCCUAGAACUAGGUAAGCCUCUCACAUAGCAAGAUCAACAGAACCAAACACCAACUAAAAUAUUAAUGGAAGUUGAAAAUGCCAUAACAUAACUAUAAGUGGAAUACAAUAGUCACAUAAAUCCCAAAACCCGGUAAUACUGAGUCAUAAACUCUACUGAGUGUACAUAAGAAACCUCAAAAUACAUUGUCACACCUCUUUUUUACUACCCCGGAAAGGGGUAUAAGGGAGUUUUUUUCAAUUUAAGUGACAAUCGAAAUAAGAUUACUUAUUUAAAAUUUAGAGUUGCUGCCACUUAGGAUGAUUUAUGGUGUCCCAAGUCACCGGUUUGAAAUCCCGAAUCGAGAAAAUAUUGACUCUGUUUUACAGUCCGCGAAAUACAAAAAUUCGGAUAAGGAAUUUUAUUAACCUGGGAGAAAGUGUUAGGUAUUCCCGGUUCCGUGAUUUUAGCACGUCACUCAACUAUUAAUACUGGCCUAUUUAUCUGAUUUUGAAACAUUUUUUAAAACCUAUGUGCAUUUUACCCACUUUUAACCGUUUUUAGUAAUCCACGUUUAUCAUACAGUUAUUUAUUUAACACACAUUGCGAAUCAUGUCACGGGAACCGUACCCACGAUCUACAACAUGUCAAUUUUUUAACAAAAUUAAAUUUUGGUCGUGUCACAUAAAUGUACCCCAAAUUUUAGAAAUUAGGCAUUACAACUACAUCACGGGAACCGUACCCAUAGAUAUGACAAUUUAUUUAAUUAAAUGCGCCUAAAGCUAACUACAAAAGUUCAGGGCAUUUUUCUACACUAGUUAAGGUAUCGAUGUGAGGGCCAUAGACUAAGUGAUUGGAUGGAACACCUCAAUUUUAUUAAAGGAAAAGCAUUCAACUAAAUGAACUAUGGAUAUUCAUAUUUAAAACUAAUUUGAAAUUAGAUAUCAUAACUACGACACGGGAAUCGUACCCGUACUUGCGAUGAUUACUUACGUGCCAAAAAGUUUGCUUACGCAAAUGUAGUCGGCUUAAGCAUAUUCCUAGCGGUUAAGUAAUAAUAUAAGCAAAUGAAACAAAACUAAAUGAGAGCUCCUAUUUCUGAUUCAUUUCGUUUCCUAACAAACUUCUAAGUUAACGGGGAAACAGAAUCAAUACAAAGAAUGCCAAAAUCCUAGUCAAUGAAAUGUUGAUCAAUGUAGAAACAAAUCAAUGAAGUGUGAAGUUAGCAAGAAUUCAUAUUGUCCUUAGACUUCAACUAAACUAUUGGCAUGUUUUAACAGAGAAUAAGAAGCCAUCCAAAUGUGAUCCUUAAUCAGCAUAGUAACAAGACUAACAUGUUCACUUGAAAGCCAACAGCUUUUAUCACCAACUCAGCUAAACCGAACAAAAAAUUUGAACUUGAAUUAUCACUUCCUCUCAAAUGUGAAUGAACUACCUCUCUUUGAAUGAAAAAUCCUUUUUCACAAUCAAUUAAAAAAACUUUCAGCACUCUCACGUGGUAUGAGCUCAACAGUAGGACCUGAGAAUGUGAUUCAGCUACUAGAGUAAUCCAACAGAACUUUCAAUUAAUAAAUUUUGAAACAUGAUCUUUGAAAACAUGAAGAAUAACAACACUCAAACUAUAUGCAUAUCAAGCCACAAGUUCAAAACAGAUCAACAGAGACAAAUGGAUCUGAAUACUAGCCACCCGAAUGCAAUUCAGCCCGACAUUGAGCUACAACCAUAGGCAUUCCAAUUUUAUCAACUACUCAUGUUCAGGUUCAAUUAUGCCAGCAAGACGAGCUCAAAAAUCGAAAGCAAGAAAUCAAUUCUUUUAAACCUUAGCCAUGGUUGAUUUUUAAUUAGUAGACGAAAACAAAUGACAGGAUGUUGAGUGUUUUCAAACAGAACUGGUAGAGUGAACCAACAACUCCAAACUUCAUAUACUUGAAUUAACACUUCGCGAGAUCAUACUGACCAAGGACAAUAGCUCAAACUCCAAUAGGUACAACAAAGUGGAGGCAUAAUGCUUAAGAAAAUGUCAACAUAAUAACCAUUUAGCAUUCUAACAUAGAUAUAAUAUGCUUGCUCAAGACAAUGAACGUUCGUCGAUCCACACAACAGCUUAAAGCAAACAGAACCAAAAUAGAUGCCUCAAUCUGAAUUUCAGCAAGUUAAACAGAGGCAGCUAUGAUAUAAUUGUCUAGUUUCCUAAUUAAAAACAAGUGAAAAAAAAGGGAACAAAUCGCGAAAGCUUGGUCGAGUGUAAAACAAACUUUGAGGCAGCAUUCAAACACAAUCCCUUUCAAACUAUCUGUCAAGAACCUACGGAUUUGUAUCAAAUUGAAGAACGGAAAAUUUCAAAACUCAAUUUACAUGUAAACUCAGCCAAACCAAAUAGAAAUAUUCAUGAAAAUUACUAACAAUCACAUUACGACCACAACUCUGUUAACAGUCACAAACUCGGAACGUUAGGGAGAAAGGGAACCAGGAAGGAACCUGAAAAUGAGCUUUCAAUUGAUGUUUGAAAUGAUUAGAGAAGGUAUAAACGAAUCUAGAUAUGCAAAAUCCAGCAGCAAGCCAAUCCAAAACAUCAAGACGAGAUGUACUCCAACCGGAACGACGAACUCGGACCUCAGACGGUGAAUUAAAUCAGCUCCGGACAAACUCCAUCUUUGAGACCAUAAUCAAGAGGCAAAACUAAAAUUUUGACUCGUUUUGGGUUGUUCAGAAGCAGGGGUCGUUGGUUGGUCUUUUUGACGCUUCUGUUCUAGCUGGUGGGGUUGGUUUCUGGUGAGUUUUAACGGUUGGGUGUCUAGGUUGUUGAUGUUAAAGAAGAGGGAAAUAGGGUUGUUGCUUGGGGAUGACGAAGAAGAUGGAAUUCAAAGAGGGGGGGAGGGGUCUUGUGUGUAACGGUUGUUGCUUAGGGGUGAGGUUCUCUCAUUUUUGCCAUGGAAAGAAGCUUGUCUUCUUUUGGAGAUGAAGACCGAUCGGGGGGAGGGGGUCUCUAUGUUUACAAAGGGCUCCCCUAGAUCUUUCAGGGUCUUUAGGUUUUUAAGGGUGUUAGGGUUAGUUUAGUUGGUAUUGGGUUUGGGUUGUUAUGGGCUAGAUCCGAAUAUUAGGCAUAAAAAUGGGUCGUUUGAGCCCAAAUUUUAUUAUUUCUCCGUGAACAAGACUAAAAAUAUGACCUCAUUUACCAGUUAAUUCUACUUAAGUAAAAUAACUAUUAAGAUAAGACUAAUCGUUAAUACAAAC